UACGUAGGGGGCAAGCGUUGUCCGGAUUUAUUGGGCGUAAAGAGCGUGUAGGCGGCCUGACAGGUCUGCUGUGAAAACUCGAGGCUCAACCUCGAGAUGUCGGCGGAAACCGUCUGGCUAGAGUCCGGAAGAGGAGAGUGGAAUUCCCGGUGUAGCGGUGAAAUGCGCAGAUAUCGGGAAGAACACCCGUGGCGAAGGCGGCUCUCUGGGACGGUACUGACGCUGAGACGCGAAAGCGUGGGGAGCGAACAGG
rnacentral:rRNA from 1 species